GAACAAAUCAUUCUCACAGAACACAAUAAUAACAGUUAAUUAAGUCAACUACAUUAAGAUGGUGAUGGGCGACGAUUUCCACUACUAAUUCCUUUCAGUAACUUGAAGGUAAAAUAAAAUCCAUAGCUAAUUACACAAUGUAAACAAAUGAGCUAGUCCACAUUACGUCUUAGGCACAGUCCAAUAGAAGUGUCAGGCAAUUCAUAUAAAUUACAAUCCAAAUUCAAUAAAGCUAAGCCACUACAAACCAUAAAGCAUUGAGCAUAGUAAUUAAACUUCAUGAUAAUGAGAAAUCAGUAGAAAUUCCAUCAGGCCUCAAAUUGCCAUGGCAUUUUUCAUUUCAUCAAAGAGAUUACAACUUCGAAUGUGUACCCGAAAUCUGGGCAGAAGUAAAAUAGAGGAGAGUCGGUCGAAUCAAUGCACGAACAACAGUAGCAGUAGGACAAUUUUCAGCAGUUUUGAACACCAACAGCUCAGAAAUGCUACGUAAUCUAAAAAUAAAUAGUGAAUCUACCAAAACAUCAUCCAAAUUGAACCAAAGAUGAAACGAACACCAAUUAAAACUUUCAGCAAUCCAAAACACACUCAGUUGAACUCGAAUAUUCCAAGAACAGACUUAGUAAGCUACAGAAUAGUUUCAACAGAAGAAUAGAUGAAAUUCACUGCCUAGCACUCACACCUCAACUGGAAAUGCAAUGGAACAGUUCAUUUUUUGGGGUUUUGACUGUUUUUUUUUUUUUUUUCUUGAAGAAGUUGAGAUCUAAAGAAAUUUCAGAUCUGAAAUGUGAAUUUUAGAUCUAAAAGCUUGGGGAUUACUUUGGGGAAGAUUUUAGGCUACCAAACUUGAUUAAUAAGGCACUGGGGCAGCUUUAAAUAGGUAAAGAUGGGCAGCCCUCAGAUUUUCAGUUUGCACUCCAUUCCCUGAUUAUUUACAGCUUUGGUCCCUUAGUUUUUAACUUGUUCCCCAAGUGAGUCUACUAAUUCCCUGAAAUUACAACUAAAUAGCUACUUUAGAAGGUUCUUGCAUAUUCUACCAAAUUCUACCCCAUCCCAAUUACCUAAACCACCCCUGUAUUUAAACUAGAUUCACAACUGUAACCAAAUAGAUCGCUAGCUCUAAUUUACCAAUUAUUGAAGAACAGUAUUAACAAUUCAUCGAACAACCAUCACAAAUUCAAUAUGAAAUCAGAUUGUAUCAUCUUAAUCAAUCAAAACACAAUUAGACUAAUUAAUGAACUGUUCUUGACAACUAAACCAGAAUGAAAUAGCUAACUAACUGAAACGAGAAUUAAUCCUAACAACAUCAAUCGCCUUAGAGAAACAGAAUGCUCAAAUUUAAACUAAACUAAACGCUAAACAAGAAUUAACUAAUGACGAACUAACAACUAACAGGUUUCGAAAAACAAUCCAAAUAGUAACAAUUUAGCUAUUACCUCGAAAUAGAUAACAUUGAAUUCAAUCCAUUAAUGACACGACGAACACAUGGAGAAGAAAACAAUACGAAUUAAUAAGAAAAAAAAAACAAAAGAAAAACUCUAAGAAACUCACUGGCGACUCUCUGGAUUCAACUUGACUGCCUUCAAUGAAGUUCGAGGCUGACGACAUCGAAUUCGUCGCGAGGGAGGCAAAGAGACUCUGGUGUAUUCAUUAGAAAUCAAUGGAACGAAUUAGGGUGGUUUUGACCGGUUUUGGGUUUGAUAUUCAAGGGGCUCAGUCAUGUUUUGAAGGAAGUUAUUUGUAGAUUGGUGAUGAGGAGAUGGAGGAGUUUUUAUGGUGUGAAUUAGAAUCGAGUUGGGCAGUGUCGCAGCCGUGGACGGCGGAGACGGCGACAAUUCUUUCCACUAUUCGACGACCACCAAUGUCAUUUGAAAGAUGACAAUGGCAGAUUCAUGACGGGGAUGAUGAGGCGGUAUAGGGGUGUAAAUUUGGGAGCCACCGGAGAUGGUGGAGAUUUCUCCGGCGGCAGAGACGGUGGCGUUACAGAGUUUGUACGAGGAGGGGAGUUAUGGUCGUGUUAGGGCUAAAGAGAUUCAGACACCUUUAUGAGAAAUGGGG
rnacentral:lncRNA from 1 species